CAUUUUAAAGAUCACUAUUUAGGUGAAUUUUUAUUUUUUAAUUGGCAAAUGUGAUUUUACCUUUGUAGUAGACGCUAUAAUGACUAGGCUGUAUUUCCACACAUAUUUAACACUCUUAAAAUAAAACCGUCCCUAAAGACAAAAGAUCAUCAAUCCAAUCUUUAAAACGCAUAACUAAAAGCCAAAACGCAAAGAUGCACCUCUAUCAAACCUAAUAGUCAGAUCAUAUUACCUCUCUGUGUAAUAUCACCAUAAUAUCAAAUGGGCCUCUAUAUGCAAAUACCAUGUUUGUUGUUUCCCUGCUGCCCAGUGAGCAUUUUCCCCACACGGAUCGAAUAGUCAUUAGCUCUCGCGCACCAUCUUCCCCAAGUCCCUGCGCCCAUAAAUCAAGCAGGAGCGCCGUGACCUCAGCGCGGCCGCGCGGUCCUGGAUGGCACUCCGUCUCCCAUUAUAUCCUCGUUUCCCGGCGGAGCGACACAACCCCACCGCUUUGCUCGACUUUUUUAUGGCACUCGUUUUAUGUAUCAUUUACGCACAAAACGACACGACCCGACAUGUUUUGUUUUGUUUUAUAGGAUUGGUUAAAGCUCGGAGCGGCCGCGCGCCUUGUUUGGAUUUUACUUGGAGGCAGAUUUUUAAAUGGCCGCUUUAUUUACAAACGGGUUUGCAGGCCCAUUUGUUCAGAUGGCUGAUCGUCCAACACUAGGUCUGAUUAAAAGAGAAUUAUUUUCAUUAAUUCAGGAUGUUCUGUUUCAUUCUGACUUUUAAUCAACUAGCUGUGAAUAAAUGCAUCUCUAGUGGGUAUUAAUCCACUAAAGCCUGAAUCUCACUGACCAAAACAGAUACUUGGUUGAUAACCUAUAUACAGUGUAUGAAUUUUAAAGGCCUAUUUAUGUGUUGCUUUAUGAACUAAAACAAUCAGACAUCGUAACAGAAAGAUGAAUAUAUAUAUAGCUUAUAAAUGUCUAUUUUCUCGCCCUGUAAGAGCUCUGGGCCCCCUUUUACUGACCUCUGCCUCGCGCAGCAAUAACUCACGACAGUAAUGAACAAUCGGCGGAAAUACCUCAAAAUAAAAUCCAUCCUCCCAAAGCUUGCGCUCUGACUCUGUCCGCGUGAAAAAACAUAUCCGUCCGUGAUAGCAGCAGAAUACAUCCACAGAGCCGGAAUCCCCUCAGCCUCAAGCCUGCCUCUCUGCUGCUUCUCUCCCCUCGAUAAAUAAACUACAAAGCCCGGACUCCCCUCACGGUAAGUAGGGGUAACCCGCGUCUAAUCAGCAUCAUAUGGCCAGACCGGGGCUCCGGUUUUCUUCCCCGUGCCAUAACAUCGCGCAGUAUUAUGCGCCCCGCUCACGUGACGCAACGUCAACUUAAAUCCCUUUUAUUUGAGCCCGUGAAUCAUUAAUGGAGGCAGUCAUUGCCCCUGAGGAGAAACGGAUCAGUUUGGAGGGAGAAAAAAGAGGGCUGUGUGACACUGCAAUGUAUCUGGCAGAGGAGCAGGUCUCUCGCAGAGAAGCAGCUUUUCCACGUGUCGCCCAUUCAGGGGGAAAGACUGCUCUGUCAGUUUUAAAGUGCCAUAUAUUCUGUGCCUGUUAGCGGCUGAAAGAGCUAAUCCUGUUGUAUUAUGCCGAGUUUCAAGUGCAGCCACGGCUCCGAGCCAGGCUAAAAGCGGAGUGUUUUACACUGCAGUGUGAUAAUUCGCACUAUGUCAGACGGAGAGGGCUUCUCCACGCAAAAUGCGAUUUAGAGCACAGUAUAAUAAUUCCUCAUCAUUCCUCCUUCCUCUUUACAGCACAGCCGGGGCUACACUCAGCCUUACUCACUAUCGCCCCCCGCCCUCAGACCCACAGUGAGGUUGUAGCACCACUUAAUGUGCCAAUGGUUCUCCAUCAGCAAAAGCCUGCAUGCUUUGGACCAAACUGAAAACAGAAGUCACGCAUUUACCUGUCCUACGUAAGGAGGCUGUGCGUCCUGGUGGUCGUAGGGGGAGUGUGUCAGUCAGCAGUGGGCGGAAAGUGGAGGUGAGAGAACCAAAGAGUGGCUGCUCGACCCCGCUGAUCAGAACAUGGACCCCCAUUCGACCUACAUGCGCUUACGCGUUUCCUACCAGCUGAGGGAAAUUACAGGUUUGUGUGGAGGAAGUUUGGAGAUUUUGGACAGAGGGGGGGAGGAGGGAAUGAUAGAAAAAGUGCCAACUGAGCCAAAAUCCUUCUGCAAUUUCCCUGAAACUCAAAGUUAUAAACUAAAUUCCGUCGCGAAAGCGUGCCACGCGUGUGCCAUGGAGGAUUUCUGGCUUGUGCCACUGCAGGUUUUGCCAGAAGUCUCAGCCCGGAAGAGCUUCUCUCAACUCGGCACCGUUUGGCGCUUGUUUUCCGUCAACACCGAGCGGCGGGCGUGGAAAAAUCCCACCACAACUAUUAAUCAUGUGGGGCGGACAUAGACAGCAUCCCACUCCCACACCAGCCUUUGUCCUCUCGAAGUACAAGUUGGGCGGCAAACUUUUUAAAGACUGGAACAGAAGUGGAGCUGCUCUUAUUAAUUCACCCUCAGUACUCCAGAAAGAGAAGAAUAUUGAUGAUUUAGAGUUUGGGUUCAAGUUUUACGCACGGAGUUAAAACGCAUGAUAAUGAAAGUAUGAAAGUAGGACUAAUUCUGAUUUGAAACUUGAGGUUUUGACGUUUGUAUUUUGUUCUCCUUUUGUCAUCUGCAGGUAGAGCUGUGGGUUGGACGGCAUGACUGCACACUGGAAGCUAAUCCCUCGCUGCCUUUCGCCAGCGCACCUGAACUCUUCCCUGACCCGGGCAGAGGCUUUAUAGGGAGUCGAGUGGGAAGUUAUUUGGAGUUCAAAAACAAGCUGAAGCUGGAAACCAAAAAGGCCUCAGCUAGAAGCAGACGUAUUUUACUUUUUUUGCACUACAAGACUUAUCUCUUGCUUGAAAAGUUGUUCUUGAUUGAUUACAUUUCAGACCUUGGCUGUUUUAGCAUUGAAAACUUUCAGAUUUAUUUACACAAAUCAGGGCUCCUUAUCAUUGUCAGCGAAGAGGAGCUAAAGGCACAGACCUCUGGAUGUUGGCCAGGCAGAAGUCCAUAUCUUCCCACAAUGUUGACACUCGGAGCUCUCAACAGGCAGGCGUGGGUUAAAGAUACUUUCAACUGGAGAUAAAAACUCUGUGAGGUUUACAGCGGCCAACAUCAAGGCUAACGCGAAACUCGGCGCUUUUGCAGAAAGUGGAGACGUCUCUAAGGAGGACCAGGGUGGCGUAAAUGUUUGCGUAAAGUUGGUAAUAAUAAAGUAUUUUGAAUAUUCUUGCUGAA